rnacentral:rRNA from 1 species
AAAGGAAUUGACGGGGGCCCGCACAAGCGGAGGAACAUGUGGUUUAAUUCGAUGAUACGCGAGGAACCUUACCCGGGCUUGAAAUGCGGCGGACCGGCGGAGAGAUCCGCCCUCCCUUCGGGGCCGCCGUGUAGGUGCUGCAUGGUUGUCGUCAGCUCGUGCCGUGAGGUGUCGGCUUAAGUGCCAUAACGAGCGCAACCCUCAUCGUUAGUUGCCAUCAGGUCAUGCUGGGGACUCUAGCGAGACUGCCAUCGUAAGAUGCGAGGAAGGUGGGGAUGACGUCAAAUCAGCACGGCCCUUAUGUCCGGGGCGACACACGUGUUACAAUGGGGGGUACAAAGGGUUGCUUCAUGGCGACAUGGUGCCAAUCUCUAAAACCCCUCUCAGUUCGGAUCGGAGUCUGCAACUCGACUCCGUGAAGCUGGAUUCGCUAGUAAUCGCGCAUCAGCCACGGCGCGGUGAAUACGUUCCCGGGCCUUGUACACACCGCCCGU